rnacentral:rRNA from 1 species
AUUGAACGCUGGCGGCAUGCCUUACACAUGCAAGUCGAACGGUAACGGGCCUUCGGGUGCCGACGAGUGGCGCACGGGUGAGUAAUACAUCGGAACGUGCCCGAUCGUGGGGGAUAACGAGGCGAAAGCUUUGCUAAUACCGCAUACGAUCUACGGAUGAAAGCAGGGGACCGCAAGGCCUUGCGCGGACGGAGCGGCCGAUGGCAGAUUAGGUAGUUGGUGGGAUAAAAGCUUACCAAGCCGACGAUCUGUAGCUGGUCUGAGAGGAUGAUCAGCCACACUGGGACUGAGACACGGCCCAGACUCCUACGGGAGGCAGCAGUGGGGAAUGUUGGACAAUGGGCGCAAGCCUGAUCCAGCCAUGCCGCGUGAAGGAUGAAGGCCUUCGGGUUGUAAACUGCUUUUGUACGGAACGAAAAGCCUUCUUUUAAUACAGGAGGGUCAUGACGGUACCGUAAGAAUAAGCACCGGCUAACUACGUG